rnacentral:lncRNA from 1 species
ACAUACAGCAUAUAGGCCCCAGAGUUCUGGGAUGGUGGAAGGAACCACCCGGACACUUAAACAGACAUUCUCCAAAUGGAUCUUAGAGACUGAUGAUUGCUGCGUGGAUUUGUUUCCGACAGCUCUGCUCAGACUCAGGAUGACCCCACAGUCCCAUGGCUCAUCUCCAUACAAGAUUGUGUAUGGGAGGCCCCCUCCCAUAAUAAAACAGGUGUCAACAAAUUUGCCUCAGGUGUCACCCCUUGGAUCCACCACAUGAGACUGAAGAGAGCAUACCACGCAGACCCAGAGGACACCAAGUGGACUACACAAAAGGACCCCUCUGAUCCCCAUGAAACCAAGAUCAUCUUAAAGAAGAACAAGAGGUGAAGCUCUACAAUCAACUGCUGCUACAAGGACUUGUUGGUAUCAUCUUGAGACUAACCAGAGUUUCAGUACAAAGAGGGACCUGUGCUAUAAUCAAAGUUGAAUGUUGUACAUAUAUUCCUGAUUAUCUGGCUAUCAGCCACCCUAGAUAACAUGAAAAGUCAGGUUAAAGUUAUAUCUGAUGAAACCUUCCUUUUUGGACUUUGGUCCUAUCUUGGGUGAAGGGUGAUUGGUGGAAAACUAUAUUUACUAUUGUUAUAGUUGCCUGGAUAGCUCUGCUUUGUGAACCCUUUAUUUUACAAUCUAUUAUGAACUUUGUAACCCAAAGGUUGAUGUUGUUCUCCCAAAUUGGAGGUCAGAGAGUCAGGGUGCAAUAUAUCCCUAUGAAUGAUGCUCAUACUAUGAGUUAAGAGCAUCAAGAGGGGGAAAUGAAGGAGGAAACAGAUAGAACAGACUCCAUCUUGAAAGCAGGACUCCAUCUUGGGCCGGACUGUGGACUUUGAGCUAUAUGCCCAGUAUCUAUGGAGACAACAUACCAACUGGAAAACCAGGCCCCCUGGAUGGAAGAGCCCCAGGGCCCAUACCUAGACUCUCUGUUGCCUAAAAGAAUACCCUAAUUUUCUGUGUAACCGAAUAGAAUCAUAAACUCUAUUAUCCUUAUUGGGGUAUGACCAUAGGCCUAUUGAUAAUUGUCCACUGUUAACUAUGUAGGCUUAAGGCAUAUGAGUCACGGGUUGACUUUGAUUGUAUCUUUCUUUUCCUUUCUUCAGACUAGUUUCAGGGAAUCUGGGGAGGUGGGUUUAGGCACGUACACUUAGGGUAUAUAAGGUUUUCAGAAAAACUGGUCAGGGUCCUUGGCUAAGAGGAGACUCUGCCUUGGACCUGCCGAUGUAAUAAAUUGCACUCCACUAUC